AUUUCCGUCUUAUGGCGACCUUAUGGGUAGACGAUUUGCUUCUCCCAGCAUUUCCACCUAUAUUGAAAGAUGCCCGAAAACGCAUUAAAGACAUCGAAAAUUUCCCGACAAGAAAGGAAGACAUUUUGUUAUUCAAUUAUCCGAAAUCAGGGAACCAUUGGUUGAACGCGAUCAUACCUCGCCUUCUCCGGAAUAGUGUGGACUCGGAUCACAGGCAGAGCGACCAGAUGCUGGAGUAUGUAGAGGAUUUAGAGUCCCUCAAGUCAAUGCCCUCUCCCAGAGUGAUGACGUCACAUCUCCCCUCUCGAAAUCUUCCAAAGGAUCAUAUUGCGAAAGGUGGGAAAAUAGUUCACAUCAUUAGAAAUCCUAAAGAUGUUGCCUUAUCGGCUUUCCACCAUUACAAUCAGGAUCCCCACGUGACCGAGGUACAUGGCGUCAGUAAAGACCUGUCCACAUUUCUGGACUCUUUCCUGAAAGGAGACAGUGUGUAUGGCAGCUGGUUUGAUCGAGAAAGAGAGUGGGAAGAAGCAGCGAAGACAAAUCCAGAGAACUUCCAUGUUAUGUACUACGAGGACCUAAAACAGAAUGGAAUGGAAUGCAUGAAAAAACUAUCAACCUUCCUGGGUACCAGUACAGACCUUAAUUUUCUACAAGAUGUGUAUGAUACAUGUUCAAUUGAAGAGGUUAAAAAACGGUUAAAAAGUCCCAUUGACACGAUCUUCUACAGGAAAGGUGCUCCUCAAAACUCUUGUUUUAAAUUGAAAUUGCUUAUUUCUCAUUAAGAUGUGAUUCUCUUAAUUUAAUUUAAUUUAAUUUAAACUUAUUCGACAGUUUUAUUUAAAAUUUUUAUUUGUAGGUAUUGUAGGUGACUGGAAAUCAAGCUUUACUGAUGCAGACAAUGAGAAAUUUGAUCUGGUUUACAAAGAAAAAAUGAAAAAUUCUAAACUCAAAAUACGAUUCUCUUAAAAUCCCUUAACAGUUAUUUCAUAAGAAACAGAUAAAAGAUACUUACAUUAAAAGAGUUUUUAAAGGAACAUUUAUGUUAAUUCUAAACCGAUGUAAACGUUAAGAAAGGAUUAAAACAACAGAAGGUAAACGUAAACUGGUAUCUGAUACACAACUGAUAUAAUAUAUGUGUUUAACAUAAAAGUUUCUGAGUUAUGAAACUUCAUUAUGGUUGUAAAAAUGACAAUGUUUCCAGUUUAAACGAGUUGAACUUUAGGAUUACUAUCUUUGAACAAUUUUAUUUAUGAUAUGCAAGUAUUCUGUUGUAUAUAAAUCGAUUUUAAUGAAAAUUUCAUGGAUACAAUUUUAGUUUAUGUUAUUUAUAAUUAUCUCCGAACAGCUUCAAUGUAUGCCUUUUUACAAGGAUUGUUUUUAAUGUAAUAAAAAUCUCAGUUUU
rnacentral:misc_RNA from 1 species